rnacentral:ncRNA from 1 species
GACACGGGGUGCCGCACCAGCGGCUGAGAUCACACCCGUCGAACCUGAUCUAGGUCGCACUAGCGAAGGGAUGUCG